GCCUUCGUGGUGUAAUGGUCAGCACACUGAGCCGGUAAUUCAGAGGUCCGCGGUUCGAUUCCCGGCGAAGGAA
rnacentral:tRNA from 1 species